CUCUACAAAAUACACCUAGGCGACGACAACACCAGUUCCCGUCCAAUCAGUGCAGUAAGUCAAAACGUCUGAGGGUCUCGUUAGUACUAUGGUUGGAGACAACAUGGGAAUCCGUGGUGCUGUAGGCU
rfam:Schizosaccharomyces cryophilus OY26 unplaced genomic scaffold supercont4.2, whole genome shotgun sequence.